rnacentral:rRNA from 1 species
GACGAACGCUGGCGGCGUGCUUAACACAUGCCAGUCGAACGGAAAGGCCUGCUUUCCCUUGUGGAUUGCGGGUACUCGAGUGGCGAACGGGUGAGUAACACGUGAGUGAUCUGCCCCCAACUUGGGUAUAAGCCUGGGAACCUGGGUCUAAUUCCCGAUAGGACUGCAGGGUGGUGCCUUUGGUGGAAAACGAUUUUCUAGUGGUUGGGGAUGAGCUCGCGGCCUAUCAGCUUGUUGGUGGGGUAAUGGCCUACCAAGGCGGCGACGGGUAGCCGGCCUGGGAGGGUGGACGGCGACAUUGGGACUGAGAUACGGCCCAGACUGCUACGGGAGGCAGCAGUGGGGAAUAAUGGACAAUGGGCGGAAGCCUGAGGCAGCGACGCCGCGUGGGGGAUGACGGCCUUCGGGCUGUAAACUCCUUGCGACCGCGAGGAAGCCACCUGGUUGGAAGGGUGGUGACGGUAGUGGGAGAAGAAGCACCGGCUAACUACGUG